UAUAAGAGGUCCAGCCUGCCCAGUGACCAAGUUCAACGGCCGCGGUAUCCUAACCGUGCGAAGGUAGCGUAAUCACUUGUUCUUUAAAUAAGGACUAGUAUGAACGGCACCACGAGGGUUAUACUGUCUCCUUUUUCCAAUCAAUGAAACUGAUCUUCCCGUGAAGAAGCGGGGAUACUUCUAUAAGACGAGAAGACCCUAUGGAGCUUCAAACCAAAUAGCAUCGGCUAUACCUUAAUAUUUUAAUCAAUAACUUUUAUUAUCGCCCUCUGACUAUUAGUUUUAGGUUGGGGUGACCGCGGAACAAAAAUUAACCUCCAUGGUGAAAACUUUUCCUGAGCCAAGAGCCACAGCUCUAAGCACCAAAACAUUGACACAAAUUGACCCAAUAACUUGAGCAACGAACCAAGUUACCCUAGGGAUAACAGCGCAAUCCACUUCAAGAGCUCCUAUCGACAAGUGGGUUUACGACCUCGAUGUUGGAUCAGGGUAUCCUAGUGGUGCAGCCGCUACUAACGGUUCGUUUGUUCAACGAUUAAAACCCU
rnacentral:rRNA from 1 species